GCCCUCUUUGCUCAGUGGUUAAGCGCAUGGAUUUUAACUACGUGGUCGUGGGUUUGAUCCCAUAGACGACG
rnacentral:tRNA from 1 species